AUGCCCUACGGGAGGCAGCAGUGAGGAAUAUUGGUCAAUGGGCGCGAGCCUGAACCAGCCAAGUCGCGUGAGGGAGGACGGCCCUACGGGUUGUAAACCUCUUUUGCCGGGGGGCAGCGGGCGUCACGUGUGGCGCCACUGAGAGUACCCGGAGAAAAAGCAUCGGCUUACUCCGUGCCAGCAGCCGCGGUAAUACGGAGGAUGCGAGCGUUAUCCGGAUUUAUUGGGUUUAAAGGGUGCGUAGGCGGUUCGUUAAGUCAGUGGUCACAUUGAGGGGCACCACCC
rnacentral:rRNA from 1 species